rnacentral:rRNA from 1 species
CUUAGGCGUGUGACUGCGUACCUUUUGUAUAAUGGGUCAGCGACUUAUAUUCUGUAGCAAGGUUAACCGAAUAGGGGAGCCGAAGGGAAACCGAGUCUUAACUGGGCGUUAAGUUGCAGGGUAUAGACCCGAAACCCGGUGAUCUAGCCAUGGGCAGGUUGAAGGUUGGGUAACACUAACUGGAGGACCGAACCGACUAAUGUUGAAAAAUUAGCGGAUGACUUGUGGCUGGGGGUGAAAGGCCAAUCAAACCGGGAGAUAGCUGGUUCUCCCCGAAAGCUAUUUAGGUAGCGCCUCGUGAAUUCAUCUCCGGGGGUAGAGCACUGUUUCGGCAAGGGGGUCAUCCCGACUUACCAACCCGAUGCAAACUGCGAAUACCGGAGAAUGUUAUCACGGGAGACACACGGCGGGUGCUAACGUCCGUCGUGAAGAGGGAAACAACCCAGACCGCCAGCUAAGGUCCCAAAGUCAUGGUUAAGUGGGAAACGAUGUGGGAAGGCCCAGACAGCCAGGAUGUUGGCUUAGAAGCAGCCAUCAUUUAAAGAAAGCGUAAUAGCUCACUGGUCGAGUCGGCCUGCGCGGAAGAUGUAACGGGGCUAAACCAUGCACCGAAGCUGCGGCAGCGACGCUGAUGCGUUGUUGGGUAGGGGAGCGUUCUGUAAGCCUGCGAAGGUGUG